UGGGGAAUCUUGGACAAUGGGCGCAAGCCUGAUCCAGCCAUGCCGCGUGGAUGAUGAAGGCCUUAGGGUUGUAAAAUCCUUUCGCCGAGGACGAUAAUGACGGUACUCGGAGAAGAAGCUCCGGCUAACUUCGUGCCAGCAGCCGCGGUAAUACGAAGGGGGCUAGCGUUGUUCGGAUUUACUGGGCGUAAAGCGCGUGUAGGCGGGUCGUUAAGUUGGGGGUGAAAUCCCGAGGCUCAACCUCGGAACUGCCUUCAAAACUGGCGACCUGGACCUAAGUAGAGGCAAGUGGAAUUGCGAGUGUAGAGGUGAAAUUCGUAGAUAUUCGCAGGAACACCAGUGGCGAAGGCGACUUGCUGGACUUAUGGUGACGCUGAGACGCGAAAGCGUGGGGAGCAAACAGGAUUAGAUACCCUCGUAGUCCCUGAGCGGGCUGGCAAGGCGCAU
rnacentral:rRNA from 1 species